AAGUAAUAAAUUAUUUAAAAAAAUAUUUAAAAAGAAAUUAAAAUAAGUAUAUUAUUUUUUAUUAUUAGUGAGAAAAAAUAAAUUUAAUUAUAGUGAAUUAGUAUUGUAAAAGAAUUUUUAAAAUUUAAUUAAAAGAAAAAUUCAAGAUUUGUACCUUGUGUAUCAGGGUUUAUUAAAAUAAAGUAUUUAUUUAUUUUUCUCGAAUUUAAAAGGGCUAAAAAAUAGAAAUUUUUAUUGUAGAAUAAAUAUAUAAAACUAUUUUUUAGUAAUGAAACGUUAUUCGUUUUUAAAUAUAUCUAGUUUUUUAAGAAAAAAAUUAAAUUUUAUUAUAAUUUAAUUAAUUUAUUUAUUGAUUAAUAAAUUAAUAGUUAUAUUAAGUAUUUUUAGGGAUUAGCUUAAAAAUAAAAUUUUAUAAAUUAAUUAAUUAUAUUAAUAAUAUAUAGAAUUGAAAAUUUUCAUUAUUAAUAAUUUGUUAUAAUUAUUUAUUAUAUAGAUAUGAUUUUUAUUAAUUUUAAUUUUUUUAUUAAAAUUUAAAUUUAAAUAAAAAAAAUUUAGUAAUAAUGAUAAAAUUAGUAUAAUUUUAUAUAAAUAUAAUUAUAUAAUUAUAGGUUGGAAAAAGGAACUCGGCAAAUUUAUUUUUCACCUGUUUAUUAAAAACAUGUCUUUUAGAUUAUAAUUAAAAGUCUAGCCUGCCCACUGAGGAGUUAAAUGGCCGCGGUAUCCUGACCGUGCUAAGGUAGCAUAAUCAUUAGUUUUUUAAUUGAAAGCUGGAAUGAAAGGUUGGAUGAGAAAAUUACUGUCUCUUUCUAAAUUAAUUAGAACUUUAUUUUUAAGUAAAAAAGCUUAGAUUUAAUUUAAAGACGAGAAGACCCUAUAGAGUUUAAAUAAAUUAAAGAUUUUUUAUUUUAAGUAUUUAUAAGUUAAAUUUUUAAUUUUUUUUAAUUGGGGUGAUUGAAAAAUUUAAUAAACUUUUUUUAUUUUAAAUCAUUUAUUUAUGAAAAAUUGAUCCAAUAUUAUUGAUUAUAAGAUAAAGUUACCUUAGGGAUAACAGCGUUAUUUUUUUUGAGAGUUCAUAUCGAAAAAAAAGUUUGCGACCUCGAUGUUGGAUUAAAAUUAAUUUUUGGUGUAGAAGCUAAAAAUAUUAAGUCUGUUCGACUUUUAAAAUUUUACAUGAUCUGAGUUUAAACCGGCGUAAGCCAGGUUGGUUUCUAUCUUAAAUUUAAUAUAAUAUUUUAGUACGAAAGGAUCAAAUAUUAGAUAAAUUAUUGAAAUUUAGAAUAAAAUU
rnacentral:rRNA from 1 species